rnacentral:misc_RNA from 1 species
UUUCCGUAGGUGAACCUGCGGAAGGAUCAUUAUUGAAUAUUCUUGAUGGGUUGUAGCUGGCUCUCCGGGGCAUGUGCACACUUGUCUUGACUUUAUUCGUCCACCUGUGCACCUUUUGUAGUCUUGGGGGUUGAGAGCAAGUCGACUAUCGGAUGGCUAAGGCCUUUCCGGACGUGAGGAUUGCUGAGUGCGAAAGCAUACAGCUCUUCUUAAAUGACUUGUAAUACCUCUCCCUCAAGUACUAUGUAUUCAUAUACCACAUAGUAUGUUGUAGAAUGUGAUCAAUGGGCCUGUGUGCCUAUAAUAAUGAUAUACAACUUUCAGCAACGGAUCUCUUGGCUCUC